GGAAAUCCCAGUGCAUGAGGGAGAGAAUAUUUUGGGAAUAACUUCCCAUGUAUAUAAAAAAAUAAGAAUGAAGUGUUGAGGGAGGAAGAAAGGAAGCUGAUCAUGAAGGAAGAGAUGGGAGCCUGCUGCUGUGCUGCUGCUGCCGUCUCCAACUCCAUGCAGGGCUGAUCUCUUCUCUAGGGCUGGUUGCAGCCCUAACAAAAG
rnacentral:lncRNA from 1 species